UACGGAGGGUGCGAGCGUUAAUCGGAAUUACUGGGCGUAAAGGGUGCGUAGGCGGUGAGUUCAGUCAGAUGUGAAAGCCCUGGGCUUAACCUGGGAAUGGCAUUUGAUACUGGCUGACUGGAGUGUGACAGAGGAUGGCGGAAUUCCGGGUGUAGCGGUGAAAUGCGUAGAGAUCCGGAGGAACACCGAUGGCGAAGGCAGCCAUCUGGGUUAACACUGACGCUGAGGCACGAAAGCGUGGGGAGCAAACAGG
rnacentral:misc_RNA from 1 species